ensembl:lncRNA
CCCUACAGGAUCUGUAAUCAGUGUAGAGGUGACCUGGGGUCAGCAGCCGGAGCACCCCUACAGGAUCUGUAAUCAGAGUAGAGGUGACCUGGGGUCAGCAGCCGGAGCACCCCUACAGGAUCUGUAAUCAGAGUAGAGGUGACCUGGGGUCAGCAGCCGGAGCACCCCUACAGGAUCUAUAAUCAGAGUAGAGGUGACCUGGGGUCAGCAGACGGAGCACCCCUACAGGAAAUAUAGGAGAAGAGGGGGGAAGUAUUUUGACGUGACACAAGUAGGAACUAUUAUACUUGACUUAAAUCCUUUUUAUGCUGGGGAGGAUAGGUCAUCCAUGCAGGAACUAUAAAAGAGGGGGAGUUAUUCUGACAAGAGCACUAUUCCCAAAGCAUUUCUGAUACAGCAUUUUUAUCUUUUCACUCUGAGGAGCACCUUGGAUUUGGUGAAAACAUGAGGACAUUUCUUUAUAGCUGUUGGGGCAAGAGCAGCCUCCAAAACAAACAAAUUGUUAUUUGAGUAGUUAGUGCAGCAUAAACUUGACCUAACAACAUGGCUUCCUCUAAACUCAGUAGUUUUUGUAUUUUUACAUCAUCUGAAUAUUAUUGGUAUAUAGUUAUACAGGUGUUGGAUCUUAAUUUGUGCCAGUUUGCUACAGCAGGAAAAUAACCCUGCAGCAACAGGAAAAGUGAAUUAUUAUGUGGAUUAUAAUUAAUGGACGUUUUCUGUAGGGAUUGAUAGAUUUUUCGUAAGGGAAAAUCAAGUCUGGAAUGUCAAAGUGGAAAUGACAAAUUUAAGAAAGUUUUUUUCUAACUCAAAGCCUUGUCAAACCUCAAACCUCUAAUUGUUUAAUUUCACACAUUACAGGAAAGUUGUCCUGCAACAGAGUGAUCAGAUUAAGAUCCUACAUCUGCAGCAAUAGCUGUUUGACAUAUAUUUUGCCAGGGGAUUCCAGUUUGCAUUCAUCAUGUAGGCUGCUGUAUUUCUUCUGACAUAUUGACAUGUCAUUCAAUCAGUCACUGUGUAUUUCUUGUGACAUAUUGACAUGUCAUUCAACCAGUCACUGUGUAUUUCUUGUGACAUAUUGACAUGUCAUUCAACCAGUCACUGUGUAUUUCUUGUGACAUAUUGACAUGUCAUGCAACCAGUCACUGUGUAUUUCUUGUGACAUAUUGACAUGUCAUUCAACCAGUCACUGUGUAUUUCUUGUGACAUAUUGACAUGUCAUUCAACCAGUCACUGUGUAUUUCUUGUGACAUAUUGACAUGUCAUUCAACCAG